GUCGAGAGGCUUCGGCAAUGGGGGAAACCCUGACCGAGCGACGCCGCGUGUGUGAUGAAGGCCUUCGGGUUGUAAAGCACUGUCGUGCGGGGCGAAGGAUCUCACAGCAAACAGUUGUGGGAUCUUGACGGUACCGCAGAAGGAAGCUCCGGCUAACUCCGUGCCAGCAGCCGCGGUAAUACGGGGGGAGCGAACGUUGUUCGGAAUUACUGGGCGUAAAGGGCGCGUAGGCGGCUUCGUAAGUGAGAUGUGAAAGCCCCUGGCUCAACCAGGGAAAUGCGUCUCAUACUGUGAGGCUUGAGUGCAGGAGAGGAUGGGGGAAUUCCCGGUGUAGCGGUGAAAUGCAUUGAUAUCGGGAGGAACACCAGUGGCGAAGGCGCCCAUCUGGCCUGUUACUGACGCUGAGGCGCGAAAGCCGGGGGAGCAAACAGGAUUAGAAACCCUAGUAGUCC
rnacentral:rRNA from 1 species